rnacentral:rRNA from 1 species
GAUGAACGCUGGCGGCGUGCCUAAUACAUGCAAGUCGAGCGAACAGAUCAGGAGCUUGCUCCUCUGACGUUAGCGGCGGACGGGUGAGUAACACGUGGAUAACCUACCUAUAAGACUGGGAUAACUUCGGGAAACCGGAGCUAAUACCGGAUAAUAUAUUGAACCGCAUGGUUCAAUAGUGAAAGACGGUUUUGCUGUCACUUAUAGAUUGAUCCGCGCCGCAUUAGCUAGUUGGUAAGGUAACGGCUUACCAAGGCAACGAUGCGUAGCCGACCUGAGAGGGAGGACGACCACACUGUAAGUGAGGCACGGUCCAGACUCCUACGGGAAGCAGCGGUAGGGAAUCUUCCGCAAUGGGCGAAAGCCUGACGGAGCAACGCCGCGUGAGGGAUGAAGGUCUUCGGAUCGGAGAACGCUGUUAUUAGGAAAGAACAAAUGUGUAAGUAACUAUGCACGUCUUGACGGUACCUAAUCAAAAAGCCACGGCUAACUACGUG